AGAGGGGCUGGAGGGGCAGGUCACGUCCGGCCUUCGUGGCAGCCUGGCGUCUUCAGAGGCCGACUCUGAGGUGGAGUCCGGUUGGCAGGCCCUGGCUGUGUGCUGCCCCUGGAAGGCUCUGUGACUCUGCACGAGGGGACUCCUGAGCAGCCGCAGGAUGCGGACGGCUGAGGGCCGUCUGCCAGCGGCACUUGCGGCAGCCAGGGGAGUGGAGAGUCCACGGAGGCCUGGAGCACAGUGAGGCAGCGUCACCCCGGUGAGGACCACCCUGGCUGCCGUUUCAGAAUGCUAGGAAGCGGCCAGGGGGCCGGUGAGGAGGUGGUGGCAGGGACGGAGCCCCAGACGAAGUGGUCGUUGAUAGAAGCGUUUGGAAGCCAGAGCCAACGGAGUCAAAGGCCCAGUUUGGAGUCUGCUCUGCUUCCAGGUUCCAGACAAAAUGGAAGUCGCUGCUCUGUGGUUUUCCAUGGCCGUUCGAUGGGGCAGUUGUGGCCUUUGUCAGCGCCAGUUACGGUGUCGUCCCAGAAGCUCCUUUAUGAAGAGUUCCCGGGCUGGACGCUGGUGCGUCCUCGGACUGUCCGUAGCUGCGGAGGGUUUAGAUCGCCGGGCGCGCACACACCUCGCUGCCCGGUCCUCCCAGAUGACCUCUGGUCUUGGUCAUGAGCUGUGCCUUCAUCGGGACCGCUCUCGGCAGGGCUUUUUCCUCUCUGCUCUGCUCCCCCAGUUCCUUGUUCCCAGGGCAGUGGUCUUGCCAUGAAAUCCAAUCAGGCUUUAGAACUGGCACUCAAACAUCAAGGAAUUUAAAAGCAUCAUUAAAC